UGAGUGGUGUUUGGUUUGUUACGUGUGGAUGGCUGUAUGCGUUUGCACCCAACGUUCACGCGUCUUACCUCUUCAGUCGUGCGUCAAGUCUUAAAUUGGCUUGAGCGUACUGUGGGAUUUCUGUGUUGCAUACCUGAUAAAUGGAAUUUUUUUGAUCCAUUGAAGUUYCAUUUUCGUCGUGCGUUGCAAUUGCAAUGUGCGGUGAACCUCAAAACGAUCUCUUUGAUCCACCUUGAUGUCGCAUAUGCGCCAUCAAUGUGGCCCAUUGGGAAUUGUUGGUCUCUUGUGUACGGAACAUGAUUUGGGCAUGGGUUCUUUUUUGAUCCUUGUUUGCCUUUAUUCAGCGUUCUCGCUUCUCUUAAACGACUGCUCUCCGCGUGUUGGCUUGUCCAUACGUGGUUUGCUUUGUCGAA
rnacentral:misc_RNA from 1 species